CAGGAUUAGAUACCCUGGUAGUCCACGCCGUAAACGUUGAUUACUCGUUGUUGGCAAUACACCGUCAGCGACUGAGCAAAAGCAUUAAGUAAUCCACCUGGGGAGUACGUCAGCAAUGAUGAAACUCAAAGGAAUUGACGGGGGCCCGCACAAGCGGAGGAACAUGUGGUUUAAUUCGAUGAUACGCGAGGAACCUUACCUGGGCUUAAAUGUUUAGUGAUCGACCGGGAGACCGGUUUUUCCUUCGGGACACUUUACAAGGUGCUGCAUGGUUGUCGUCAGCUCGUGCCGUGAGGUGUCGGGUUAAGUCCCAUAACGAGCGCAACCCCUAUCGCCAGUUGCCAGCACAUAAUGGUGGGAACUCUGGUGAAACUGCCGGUGCAAACCGUGAGGAAGGUGGGGAUGACGUCAAAUCAGCACGGCCCUUAUGUCCAGGGCUACACACGUGUUACAAUGGUCGGUACAACAGGAUGCCAAUCCGCAAGGAUGAGCUAAUCCCAAAAGCCGAUCUUAGUUCGGAUCGGAGUCUGCAAUUCGACUCCGUGAAGUUGGAUUCGCUAGUAAUCGCAGAUCAGCCAUGCU
rnacentral:rRNA from 1 species